rnacentral:tmRNA from 1 species
GGGGUUGACAGGACUUGACAGCUUGUGAAAUUGACCAGUAAGCAUGCCGAGCGUCGGGAGUAAGGCUCGUUAAAACCGGUUCCCAAAUGCCUAACUGGCAACACAGACUACGCGUUAGCCGCUUAAUCCUAGAUUAACCUGCUAGCUACUUCCUGAGGACCUGCUCACCCGUUCUCUAAUCCGAAGUAUCGCAUGGAGAGUGCUUUGCAGUAUUGUUCCGAUGCUGCAAUUAAGACUAUCGGAACUACGCCUGCUGGUAGCGAGUGUUUAGCAGCUUUCAGGCCGACAAAAAAAUAACACUAAGCAUGUAGAAAGCGAGUUGAUUGCUUGUCUGGACGCGGGUUCAAAUCCCGCCAGCUCCACUG